rnacentral:lncRNA from 1 species
ACAGUCACAGGCAUGGUCAUAACUGACAAACUCAUGUCCAGGACUGAAUUUCAGAACUCCUCUUCCAGACAAACAAGAAUCUGUAGACCUUCAGACACCCGUCAGGAGUACUUUGAUGCUGGCCACCAGUCAUGGAGUUGAGAAGGAAUAGGACCGAAAAUGAGGAUCAAGCAGUUUAUGUGAGACAGCCACUAUAACAGGGACUGUAUCUCACUGAACAGUUUCUGAAACCCAAUCUUCAUGAGCUCUAACACAGAGAUUCAGCUUCCCAAGAGAGCUCAGAAGAUGGUCCCAGAGCAUCUGGGGUCUUCUAUGGUUCUAGAAACAGAAACCGUUGUCAGAAACCUGAAGAAGGUGCUAAAAGGAUCCGAGGAUUGGAGGAUGCUGCUGCUGGUGCCACCCCAGAUGCCCUGCAGAACUGAUGGGCACUUCGGCGUAUCACCCACUCACAUCCAACUUUUAACUCACCCUAAUGCAGAGGACAGUUUCCCCUUAUAUUAACCACUCAUUUAAAGCUGUCCUCAUGACAUUGUGUCUCUGUGUGUGCAUGUCAUGGGGUGUAGGGUAUGUUUGUAUGUCUAGAGGCCAAAGAUGACAUCAGAUUUGUUAACUCUGAGAAUUGUGAGGAGAAAGAUAAAACCCACAAUCAUUUAUUU